rnacentral:rRNA from 1 species
CGAAACGCUAACGGGAGGCUAACACGCUGCAAGUUAGGGGCAGCAUUACUUUCGGGCUAAUUGCGACCGGCGCACGGGUGCGUAUGCGUAUGCAACCUUCCUUGCUACAGAGGGAUAACCCAUGUAAACGUGGAUUAAUAUCUCAUAGUAUCACAAUUUCGCAUGUUAUUGUGAUUAAAGCUUCCGCGGUGCAAGAUGGGCAUGCGUAAGAUUAGGUACGUUGGUGAGGUAAAGGCUCACCAAGCCGACCAUCUGUAAGGGUUCUGAGAGGAUUAUCCCCCACAGUGGUACUGAGACACGGACCAGACUCCUACGGGAGGCAGCAGCUGAGGAAUACUUGGUCAAUGGGCGCAAGCCUGAACCAGCCAUACCGCGUGCAGGAUGACGGCCCUAUGGGUUGUAAACUGCUUUAUGUUUGCCAAGAAUGGUCUACUACGUGUAGUAAUCUCGACGGAAGCAAAUGAAUCAGGACCGGCUAACCUCCGUGCCAGCAGCCGCCGGUACUACGGAGUGGUCCAAGCCGUUAUCCGGCAUCUAUAGGGUUUCAAGGGUGCGCAGGCGGAACUUUAACUCACUGGUGAAAUCUUGCCGCUUAACGGUAAAAUUGACAUUGAUACUGAAGUUCUUGAACUAUGGUUGACGUAAGCGGAAUGUGUCGUGUACCGGUGACAUGCAUCCAUAUUACACACA